AAGAAAGUCAUAGUGGUUAUGGUGUUGGCUUGAAACCAACCAAAGGAGGUUCGAUUCCUUCCUUUCUUG
rnacentral:tRNA from 1 species